rnacentral:rRNA from 1 species
UACGGAGGGUGCAAGCGUUAUCCGGAUUUAUUGGGUUUAAAGGGUCCGUAGGCGGAUCUGUAAGUCAGUGGUGAAAUCUCACAGCUUAACUGUGAAACUGCCAUUGAUACUGCAGGUCUUGAGUGUUAUUGAAGUAGCUGGAAUAAGUAGUGUAGCGGUGAAAUGCAUAGAUAUUACUUAGAACACCAAUUGCGAAGGCAGGUUACUAAGCAACAACUGACACUGAUGGACGAAAGCGUGGGGAGCGAACAGG